rnacentral:rRNA from 1 species
GACGAACGCUGGCGGCGUGCUUAACACAUGCAAGUCGAACGGAAAGGCCCUGCUUUUGUGGGGUGCUCGAGUGGCGAACGGGUGAGUAACACGUGAGUAACCUGCCCUUGACUUUGGGAUAACUUCAGGAAACUGGGGCUAAUACCGGAUAGGAGCUCCUGCUGCAUGGUGGGGGUUGGAAAGUUUCGGCGGUUGGGGAUGGACUCGCGGCUUAUCAGCUUGUUGGUGGGGUAGUGGCUUACCAAGGCUUUGACGGGUAGCCGGCCUGAGAGGGUGACCGGGCACAUGGGGAGGAAGAUACGGCCCAGGGGGCAAGCGUGGGCAGAAGCGGGGGACUGAGCGAAAUGGGCGGAAGUCUGAUACAGCGAUCCCGCGUGCGGGAGAAUGGGCGUCGAGGUGUAAACAAAUGUGGACGUUGCUAUAGAGGGAGUGACGGGAAUGGAUAAGAAGGCCAAGGCGAACGACGUG